UGUGCUAAGGUAGCGUAAUCAUUUGUUAUUUAAUUAAUAACUAGAAUGAAGGAUCUGACAAAGAACUCACUUUUUUUCUAUUUCACUUAAUUUUAUCUAAAAAUUAAAAUAUUUUUAUAUUCAAGAAAGACGAUAAGACCCUAGAAUCUUAAUUAUAUCUUAAUUUUACUGGGGAGGUAAAUUCCUCUACGGAAGUAUAAAUAACAUUCUGAAUGAUCUAAACUAACUUUUUUUUUAAAAAAAAAGAUACUCUAGGGAUAACAGCAUAAUUCUUAUGAAGAGUUCUUAUCGAUAUAAGAGAUUAUGACCUCGAUGUUGAAUUGGUUAACCUUAUAGAGCAGC
rnacentral:rRNA from 1 species